UGGGGAAUAUUGCACAAUGGGGGAAACCCUGAUGCAGCGACGCCGCGUGAGCGAAGAAGGCUUUCGAGUCGUAAAGCUCUGUCCUAUGAGAAGAUAAUGACGGUAUCAUAGGAGGAAGCCCUGGCUAAAUACGUGCCAGCAGCCGCGGUAAUACGUAUGGGGCGAGCGUUGUCCGGAAUUAUUGGGCGUAAAGGGUACGUAGGUGGUUUUUUAAGUCAGGUGUCAAAGCGUGGAGCUUAACUCCAUUAAGCACUUGAAACUGAAAGACUUGAGUGAAGGAGAGGAAAGUGGAAUUCCUAGUGUAGCGGUGAAAUGCGUAGAUAUUAAAAAGAAUACCGGUGGCGAAGGCGACUUGCUGGGCACAAUCUGACGCUGAGGAACGAAAGCGUGGGGAGCAAACAGG
rnacentral:rRNA from 1 species